rnacentral:rRNA from 1 species
CCGACGGGGGACAGCAGGAGAGAAUCAGGAACAAUGGGGGAAAGAAGGAGGGUGCGACGCCGCGUGGGGGAAUGAAGGUCUUCGGAUUGUAAACCCCUGUCAUGUGGGAGCAAAUUAAAAAGAUAGUACCACAAGAGGAAGAGACGGCUAACUCUGUGCCAGCAGCCGCGGUAAUACAGAGGUCUCAAGCGUUGUUCGGAAUCACUGGGCGUAAAGCGUGCGUAGGCUGUUUCGUAAGUCGUGUGUGAAAGGCGCGGGCUCAACCCGCGGACGGCACAUGAUACUGCGAGACUAGAGUAAUGGAGGGGGAACCGGAAUUCUCGGUGUAGCAGUGAAAUGCGUAGAUAUCGAGAGGAACACUCGUGGCGAAGGCGGGUUCCUGGACAUUAACUGACGCUGAGGCACGAAGGCCAGGGGAGCGAAAGGGAUUAGAUACCCCUGUAGUC